GCCAGGCCUUGAGUCCAGCUUUGAGGUUGGCAAAUUGAACACAAUACUUGGCUGUACCUUCAGCCCUAGACCCGGCUUCAGACUCCGGCUCCGCGAUUCAUCAGCCUUGUGACCUUGCACAAAUCAUUUGCCUUUAUGAAAUAAGUCUCACAUCUGACUGGUGGGCAGGAGAGUGAUGCUUAGGCAAAGCGAUCCUUGAGCUCUGCGAUCCUUGCGCUUAGUGAGGCAGUACUGCCUGUUGUAGGCUGGAACUCAGGCAUGCUUGAUGUGGAAUGGCUGCCCAGUGACCGCGCACACCUUCCUUCCCAGCACUUGGGACACCCAGGCAGGUGGAUCUCUGUAAUUUCAAGGUCAGCCCCCUUCUACUGAGCCAAUUCCAUGACAGCCUGGGCUACAGGGAGAAACACUGUCUCCAAACACACAGACAAGCAACAACAAUGCAAACAAUCAAACAAAUAAAAUUUAAAAAAUUAAAAUUAGAAGAAAAAAAGAAUGCACUGUGGGGUUCCCCGAAGGAUCCCAGUUUCUGUGUCUCCCUGACUAGAAGUCAUGGGCGGAGUCACCUUUCCUUACUCUGUGGUGAUGGGGAGAUCGCUGGAGGAAAUCUGAGCAACUUGGACAAACUGUGGGAGACAGGCCCAGCUGGAGCCAGCCGCUGGUCACCCUCUGGUGCUCAGCGCCAAGUCUGUAAGAGGAGUGUGCCGCAGCUGUAACGCCAGCUCCCUUCCUUUUCAACCAGGCUUCUAUGUCUCAGCCAGCAUUUAGUGUAGUUCAGAGGGGCUCUCCAGUAAACCUGUGCUGGCUGGAACCUGGCACACUGGCCAAGCUAAUAUUUCAUACCCUGAACCUCC
rnacentral:lncRNA from 1 species